AAACCGUUAAGGCUGGGGAUGUUCUUCGGAAGUGUGAUUCUCUAUCAUUCUGUUUGUGUCAAAUGCAAAGGGAUCGGUUUGAAUUCGGUACAACUAUUUAACUUAUUUAUGAAUCCAGCAAUGAUGUGAGAAGGAGAAGAGCAUAACAGAUGUUAAUUUAAUGUGUCAUUAAAGGCCAUCAUUCGGAUCUUGAGUCCACAAGUCUAACUGUCAUGACCCAAGGCUAGCCCUAACAAGGCCCACCUGUGCUAAUGAAGCAAUGACUCCCAGGCACCAUGGGGCUGCUUGGGCACAGCUGCACCUUGUUGGGGUCCCAGGGCAGAGCCAGCCCCAAAGCCUCUUAAGCUCCACUGGAGGCUCCUAGGAGCCAUGAGGGAGUUCCUGGGGGGGGUCGGUCGGUCGGUCGGUCGGUCCGUCCGUCCGUCCGUCCUUCCUUCCUAAGUGGGAUUUGGCGCUGAUCCUUUGUCCUGUCUUAGUGUGGGUGGGGCUGAGAAGCAAUGAGAGAGGCUGCUUUUCAAAUGUAACUGUGGAGUGCGGGCUGUGGCAGAGCCUCUUGUUAGCCCAAACCAUUGAGAUCGGGUCCUGGUGCAGCUGGUGUCCCAAGAGGAAGGUCACCAUCCUUGGUAAGGAGCUGUGGAGUGUUACCUCUGUGUUGAGGCAGAAGCAGUGGAGCUGACCCAAGAGCUUUCUGGGAAUUACCUCUGGUUUCUAGCUAGUAACUUGAAAUAGUGCUUCUCAGUGAAACUCUGCAUCAAAACUCGUGAGCACCGAUCCCUAAUCACAUGCUCAGGUUACCGAGCCAAGAAGAGAAAUCCCUCCUGCAAACCUACACAAUGAACAUCAAACUACAGGGAUUUUUUUCAUUUAAAAAGAAAUAAAAGUAAGAAUAAGUGAUACAAGGCCCAUAGGAGGUCUUUUAAAUUUCUUCACCUGAUUUAGUGGUGUCAGCUCUUCCUAGGUACUGAAGUACUCAACAAAAACUGGUGGUAGAAGUAGGGAAAGUAAGGAAAGAAAAAGGUUUCAGAUAUGGUCUUGCCAAUCUUAUAGCUUACAGUGUAAGCUUUUUAUUUAGACAUGCUGGCCUUGGACGAGUCAUGCGGAACUGCUUCCCAGAGAGAAGCAGAAUCACUAAUCCUUCUAAAUGCUCUUCCCCAGAGACAAGAUCCCCCAAACUUCACUAGACUAGCAAAAGUGAGUGAGAAGGGUCAAACAAAUUCAAAGGAAGAUAAAAGGAGUUUGCCCAUUGCCUCUGCUGGGGAAGAUGGCUGUGGAGACAGGCUGACAGGCUUUUUUUUUUUUUUUAAUGACUGUUGUAAUGCUAUAAUGGGAUGGAAAAUAAUAUGAUAACAGCAGGGUGGCAAGAAGUCUUCGGCUACAGCAAAUGAGAACUAGCCCAAAUGCGGCAGACGCAGAAAGAAAAAGAGCUGCUUACCUUCUGAAGGCCUUGGGGGUACACAGGGAUCUCCAACAAGAGAUGGCCUCACCUCUGCUGCUGACCCUUAAAUGAGGUCUGGGAAGGGGUGGAUCCUGGCUCUGCCCCUUCCAGUCACUCAGCUGCAUUGCCUGCACCUGAGCUCCCUUGGGUUGGCCCUGUCUUCCCACCAGGUUCUCAAGGACCGUUUCAGGCCAUGACUUAGCAUUUCUGCUACAACAAUUGAACAGAAAACAACAUUCAUAGCCAUUUCCUGACGUGCUGAACCCUCUUCUCAAUGAUUUAUGGUGAGAUAAGAGAUCGAAUCUGAGGUUUUAUUUAGAAAGGCCACAGGAAGAAUUUGCUCAAUUCUGAGACAGGGCAAUUACCUACCUCUUAAGAGAAAUUCAACUGCUGUGUCCUUAAGAACUAACUAGUUUCCAACAAAUCUGAUUUCCAGAUGUGAGUUUGCAAUGGCAAUUUUUUCCCCCCUCUGUAAUGACAGAAAGACCAACACAAUGAAAAGUCGUUACAAUGGAGAUGUAAUGACAGAAAGACCAGUGUGCUGGAAAGGUGUUACAAAGGAAAGAAAAAUAAUUGCUCAUCUGUCUCUGAGGAUCUAGGUUGGCAGAGGAAACUCUGCAUAGGAGGGAUCUCCAGAAAGAGACACUUAAAUGAAGGGUAAGGGAGGUGGAGCCAGGCUCCACCCUCUCUGGUCACACAGGUGAAUUGCCUUCACCUGUACUCCCAGGACUGACCUGGUCUUUUCCCCAGGUGCUCAAUACAUGGUUCCCACCCUCCCAGAGUAUUGAACUUAUUUUCCUUAAAAAAUAUCUAGAAAAAAUCCUUUUUUCUGUGGCCAAAAUUGUUAAUACCACAAUAUGUGCUCCACUUGGAGAAUUCUUAGUUUUCUUUACACCACGGAAGAUUCACGCUGUUUAGAAGGCCCACCUGCAGAAACAGCCAAGAAUUUCAGAAAUUUUCAGAAAGUAGAAUUCACCUUUAAGAUUUUUCAGGGAUCAAAGGACUAAACUUAGUUUCCCUUUCAGAUGGAUUUGCUUAGAGGUGGACUGACCUUCUCCUGUGAAAUCAUGACCAACUAUGUGCUCAGAUAAGUGUUUAACAACAUUGUCAUGCCAUCAUCACCCUAUAAGAUCUCUUUACUCAUGAAGCAAUUACCACCUUCUUCAGGCAGCAUUUAUUGCCUGAUGGGAACAAAGUGAAAUUUUAGCUUGUAAGACGAGAAGAAUUUGAGUAGAAAUGAUCAUUUGGAAAAAGAAAAAUCAAAAAGUAACCUAAAAGAAAAUAUAAUGUCUAGCAGCUAAGGGAUUAACUGCCGUGGAGAAGGUCUGACUCCUUACUCUCCCAAGCACUUCUGUAGGAUAUUUGAGCUCCUAUGUUUCUAGAUUUGAUAACCCUAUAUUAAAGCACUUAGGUUCUCUAUGUGGUGCAAAAAGGCUGUUGGAUUGCGUAUUUUUAUGGCCUCCUCAAACAGCUGUAAUUGUG